rnacentral:rRNA from 1 species
GAGUAACACGUGAGUAACCUGCCCCCGACUUUGGGAUAAGCCCGGGAAACUGGGUCUAAUACCGGAUAUGACUUCUUACCGCAUGGUGGGUUGUUGAAAGAUUUAUCGGUGGGGGAUGGACUCGCGGCCUAUCAGCUUGUUGGUGAGGUAAUGGCUCACCAAGGCGACGACGGGUAGCCGGCCUGAGAGGGUGACCGGCCACACUGGGACUGAGACACGGCCCAGACUCCUACGGGAGGCAGCAGUGGGGAAUAUUGCACAAUGGGCGAAAGCCUGAUGCAGCGACGCCGCGUGAGGGAUGACGGCCUUCGGGUUGUAAACCUCUUUCAGUAGGGAAGAAGCGAAAGUGACGGUACCUGCAGAAGAAGCGCCGGCUAACUACGUGCCAGCAGCCGCGGUAAUACGUAGGGCGCAAGCGUUAUCCGGAUUUAUUGGGCGUAAAGAGCUCGUAGGCGGUUUGUCGCGUCUGCCGUGAAAGUCCGAGGCUCAACCUCGGAUCUGCGGUGGGUACGGGCAGACUAGAGUGAUGUAGGGGAGACUGGAAUUCCUGGUGUAGCGGUGAAAUGCGCAGAUAUCAGGAGGAACACCGAUGGCGAAGGCAGGUCUCUGGGCAUUUACUGACGCUGAGGAGCGAAAGCAUGGGGAGCGAACAGGAUUAGAUACCCUGGUAGUCCAUGCCGUAAACGUUGGGCACUAGGUGUGGGGGACAUUCCACGUUUUCCGCGCCGUAGCUAACGCAUUAAGUGCCCCGCCUGGGGAGUACGGCCGCAAGGCUAAAACUCAAAGGAAUUGACGGGGGCCCGCACAAGCGGCGGAGCAUGCGGAUUAAUUCGAUGCAACGCGAAGAACCUUACCAAGGCUUGACAUGUGCCAGACCGCCUCAGAGAUGGGGUUUCCCUUCGGGGCUGGUUCACAGGUGGUGCAUGGUUGUCGUCAGCUCGUGUCGUGAGAUGUUGGGUUAAGUCCCGCAACGAGCGCAACCCUCGUUCCAUGUUGCCAGCACGUAGUGGUGGGGACUCAUGGGAGACUGCCGGGGUCAACUCGGAGGAAGGUGGGGAUGACGUCAAAUCAUCAUGCCCCUUAUGUCUUGGGCUUCACGCAUGCUACAAUGGCCGGUACAAUGGGUUGCGAUACUGUGAGGUGGAGCUAAUCCCUAAAAGCCGGUCUCAGUUCGGAUUGGGGUCUGCAACUCGACCCCAUGAAGUCGGAGUCGCUAGUAAUCGCAGAUCAGCAACGCUGCGGUGAAUACGUUCCCGGGCCUUGUACACACCGCCCGUCAAGUCACGAAAG